UACGUAGGGGGCGAGCGUUGUCCGGAUUUAUUGGGCGUAAAGAGCGUGUAGGCGGCCAGGUAGGUCCGUUGUGAAAACUCGAGGCUCAACCUCGAGACGUCGAUGGAAACCAUCUGGUUAGAGUCCGGAAGAGGAGAGUGGAAUUCCUGGUGUAGCGGUGAAAUGCGCAGAUAUCAGGAAGAACACCUAUGGCGAAGGCAGCUCUCUGGGACGGUACUGACGCUGAGACGCGAAAGCGUGGGGAGCGAACAGG
rnacentral:rRNA from 1 species